GGGAUGCUGGUACAGGAGCCAUGCUCUGGUGCAGAAAGGAUUUUGGUGGGGAGCAGAAGAAAGAGGUGUCUGGGCUCUGGGCCACGUUACCUGAAGGCAUUGCGAAGUUUCUCUCCCAGUGGGUAUGUCCGGUCCUUCUUCUCAAACUCAUCAUCAAAGAGGG
rnacentral:lncRNA from 1 species